UUUUAGAAUAGAUAAAUGAGAUAUGAUAGCCUGCAUGUUCCAAGAGAUGUAUCAGAUGUACCUGAUUUAAAUCUUGCAUGGUGUAUGCAAUUAUUACAACCUAACAUGGAGCUUGGGGUUACUGGCUCUUGCCUAUAUUAGGAACUGCUGACAAGACAUAUUU